rnacentral:rRNA from 1 species
GGGAGCGUUCUGUAAGCCUGUGAAGGUGUGCUGUGAGGCAUGCUGGAGGUAUCAGAAGUGCGAAUGCUGACAUAAGUAACGAUAAAGCGGGUGAAAAGCCCGCUCGCCGGAAGACCAAGGGUUCCUGUCCAACGUUAAUCGGGGCAGGGUGAGUCGACCCCUAAGGCGAGGCCGAAAGGCGUAGUCGAUGGGAAACAGGUUAAUAUUCCUGUACUUGGUGUUACUGCGAAGGGGGGACGGAGAAGGCUAUGUUGGCCGGGCGACGGUUGUCCCGGUUUAAGCGUGUAGGCUGGUUUUCCAGGCAAAUCCGGAAAAUCAAGGCUGAGGCGUGAUGACGAGGCACUACGGUGCUGAAGCAACAAAUGCCCUGCUUCCAGGAAAAGCCUCUAAGCAUCAGGUAACAUCAAAUCGUACCCCAAACCGACACAGGUGGUCAGGUAGAGAAUACCAAGGCGCUUGAGAGAACUCGGGUGAAGGAACUAGGCAAAAUGGUGCCGUAACUUCGGGAGAAGGCACGCUGAUAUGUAGGUGAAGUCCCUCGCGGAUGGAGCUGAAAUCAGUCGAAGAUACCAGCUGGCUGCAACUGUUUAUUAAAAACACAGCACUGUGCAAACACGAAAGUGGACGUAUACGGUGUGACGCCUGCCCGGUGCCGGAAGGUUAAUUGAUGGGGUUAGCCGCAAGGCGAAGCUCUUGAUCGAAGCCCCGGUAAACGGCGGCCGUAACUAUAACGGUCCUAAGGUAGCGAAAUUCCUUGUCGGGUAAGUUCCGACCUGCACGAAUGGCGUAAUGAUGGCCAGGCUGUCUCCACCCGAGACUCAGUGAAAUUGAACUCGCUGUGAAGAUGCAGUGUACCCGCGGCAAGACGGAAAGACCCCGUGAACCUUUACUAUAGCUUGACACUGAACAUUGAGCCUUGAUGUGUAGGAUAGGUGGGAGGCUUUGAAGUGUGGACGCCAGUCUGCAUGGAGCCGACCUUGAAAUACCACCCUUUAAUGUUUGAUGUUCUAACGUGGACCCGUGAUCCGGGUUGCGGACAGUGUCUGGUGGGUAGUUUGACUGGGGCGGUCUCCUCCUAAAGAGUAACGGAGGAGCACGAAGGUUGGCUAAUCCUGGUCGGACAUCAGGAGGUUAGUGCAAUGGCAUAAGCCAGCUUGACUGCGAGCGUGACGGCGCGAGCAGGUGCGAAAGCAGGUCAUAGUGAUCCGGUGGUUCUGAAUGGAAGGGCCAUCGCUCAACGGAUAAAAGGUACUCCGGGGAUAACAGGCUGAUACCGCCCAAGAGUUCAUAUCGACGGCGGUGUUUGGCACCUCGAUGUCGGCUCAUCACAUCCUGGGGCUGAAGUAGGUCCCAAGGGUAUGGCUGUUCGCCAUUUAAAGUGGUACGCGAGCUGGGUUUAGAACGUCGUGAGACAGUUCGGUCCCUAUCUGCCGUGGGCGCUGGAGAACUGAGGGGGGCUGCUCCUAGUACGAGAGGACCGGAGUGGACGCAUCACUGGUGUUCGGGUUGUCAUGCCAAUGGCACUGCCCGGUAGCUAAAUGCGGAAGAGAUAAGUGCUGAAAGCAUCUAAGCACGAAACUUGCCCCGAGAUGAGUUCUCCCUGACCCUUUAAGGGUCCUGAAGGAACGUUGAAGACGACGACGUUGAUAGGCCGGGUGUGUAAGCGCAGCGAUGCGUUGAGCUAACCGGUACUAAUGAACCGUGAGGCUUAACCU